GAUUUGAACUGAACAAGUCAUCAACAACUAAGUUGUAUAACUCAUCAAUAUCUAUAACUUUUAUUUUGGUAAUUUCUUCAUCCGACGAAGUGAUAAUAAUAUUAUUCACAAAAUUUACAUUUCUCUUACAUCGGUUUUAUAAACUAUAAGAGAUAUAUACAAAUUUUGUGAACAAUAUUACUGUCAUUUUAUCGGAUGAAGAAAUGACCAAAAUAAAAGUUAUAGAUAUUGAUGAGUUAUACAACUUUGUUGUUGAUAACUUUUUCAGUUGAAAUC
rnacentral:pre_miRNA from 1 species